UACGAAGGGGGCUAGCGUUGCUCGGAAUCACUGGGCGUAAAGCGCACGUAGGCGGAUUGUUAAGUCAGGGGUGAAAUCCUGGAGCUCAACUCCAGAACUGGCCUUUGAUACUGGCGAUCUCGAGUCCGGGAGAGGUGAGUGGAACUGCGAGUGUAGAGGUGAAAUUCGUAGAUAUUCGCAAGAACACCAGUGGCGAAGGCGGCUCACUGGCCCGGUACUGACGCUGAGGUGCGAAAGCGUGGGGAGCAACAGG
rnacentral:rRNA from 1 species